CUAUCACAAGGAGCCUCUAACCAAGGAUAAGGGAUGUCUUCUGCUAAUAAAUAAGCAAGAUUAAGGAGGAGUCAGAAGAGGGAGAACCAAACACAUCGCAGCAUGAAAAGAACUUGGCCUGGAGUUGUUGGCUUUGAAGAUGAAGAAAUGAGUCCAUGAGCCAAGGAAUGCAGGGUAGUUCAACAAAGGCCCUCUGGGAGCAGUUUCUUACUCUUCAUCCCAUUUGAGAUACAUCCUCACCUUCUCUCUCAUCCCUUUUACAUUUGGAAAAGAACCUGGAAAAUUGAUCAUUUGACACCUUGGAGAUUUUACCUGGAGGAAAAUAAUUUCUUGAAGCCUCUUGUGCCUGUGAGAGCCAAAUGCUAUUUUGCAGCUGUAAUGUUGAUAAUGUAUACACAUUCUCCCCAGAGCAAUGGAUUCUUUAACCUUAAUAUUGAGACUGGAAUGAGAUUCUGUCCUCUAGAGGUCACCAAUGCACCAGAUUUGAAGGCCAUGGAGGCUUCCAAAAUGCUCAGGAAGCAUCAUGUGUCCUGUUCACGUUUGAAUGAGAGAGAAAAUAAGGCAAGUAAAUUAUCCUAAUGGUUACUUUCCAGCUAGUCUCUGAAGAAGUGGGAAAUCUGGUUUUAAAUAAGGCGUUUUAAAAUGGAUUUAUCUUGGCUUUUCUCUGCACUGAUCUAGCUGGAGGAAACUUCCAUAUGGUUAAUACUUCUUAACAGAUAGCUUACUUUUGAUGGUGAGAGAAGAAACUUUUCUAAAUAGGAGAAAAACUGAUGUAGAAACAGGUGAUUUUAGCCUCCAUUAAAUGAGUGUUACUUUCGCUGGUGCUCUGAC
rnacentral:lncRNA from 13 species